AUCUACAACAUCACGAAACUAACCCCAAAUUUAUUAAGAAAACUUUGUGGAAGUACUACUAACCCCGUCAAUUUAUGUUAUGAGCCAGCAUUUUUCAACUGAGAUGUUCAUAUAAUUGUUGAUCAACAAUAAUAUAAAGACAAAUUGUCUUUUCUUAGCUGUCAUAAAUUUGCAACUUCGAUGAACACUUACUGUUUUAGCAAAUUAAAUUUCUCAUUAUGGGACCUGCAUCGUACUUCUCGAUCUUUAUUUUAGAAUGAUUUUAUUUCUUUUUACCAUUAAAAUAGUUUCUUGUAUUUGACAGAUAAAUGUAAUAACCUCCCACUAGAUGUUAAAAUGUGCUCACCCAUUAGUUGUCGUCCUUCCAAAUAAGCAUAUGGGAACUUCGAUUUAAGAUCAAAAUUAGCAACUUGUCAUUAAUUUUUUAUAGGAUAAAAGCUCGUUUAGUCCCUAUAUUUUGAAGUUAGUGCCCGUUUAGUCCCUAUAUUUUUAAAAAUACCUCAAAUCAUCCCUACCAUUAAAUUAUUGACACUUUUGCCAUUAUCUUUUGUUCCUUUUAACUUAUUUUUAUAAUAUUGCCCUAUUAUAAUAAUUUUUUAGACAUUAUUAAAAAGAAAAAAAUAACCCUAUUAUAAUAAUUUUUUUAGACAUUAUUAAAAAGAAAAAAAUAAAUUACCAGUUUAACACCAAAAAAUAAAAUAAUAUAUAUUAAUUUUUGUGGAACACACUCUUGAGUUAAAAUAUUAAUUUUUCUAAAAAAUUGAUAAUGUAAUUUUUUACGAUAUUAAUUUUUUAGACAUACGUGAGCUUCCACAAAAAUUAAUAUAUACCUUUUUUGUUUUUAUUUUAUUUUUGAGUUUAAUUUGAUAAUUUAAUUUUUUAUUAAUAUCCAAAAAAGAAACAUUAUUGUAAAAAUGUAAUAUUGUAAAAGCAAGUUAAAAAUAAUAAAAAAUAAUGGCAUAAGUGUCAAUAUUUAGUAGCAGGGAUGUUUUGAGGUGUUUUUAAAAAUACAGGGACUAAAUGGACACUAACCUCAUAAUAUAGGGACUAAACAAGCUUUUACCCUUUUUUAUAUACAUUUUUUUCUUGUAUACAAGUAUUACUUCAUUUUUUGUACUAAUUACCGAAGUCUUAGAAAGCCUAUCGACUAACCAAUAGAAUUAAACCUUAGGAAGUGGUUACUUCACGGAUUAAGAAAUCGGAAUCCGGAAUUUGAGUCAUUGACAAUAUUUACUUCGCAAAAUAGAGGCAGGAAUCGGAAUCGCAAUCGUAGACCCCACCUAAAUUUGGGAAUGGGAAACGGGAGAUUCAAUCUCCCAUUCCCUAGAUUUUUCAUUUUAUCUCCAUUGAAAUUUUAUUAUUCCCAAAUUGCCUUCAAUCAAAUUUUGUCAUGUUUGCAUUUUGGUCCCUACAAAAUUUAUGAAAAAUACCCAAAAGUUUGUAUUAUUUGCAA
rnacentral:lncRNA from 1 species